rnacentral:rRNA from 1 species
GCCCUACGGGGCGCAGCAGUGGGGAAUAUUGCACAAUGGGGGAAACCCUGAUGCAGCAACGCCGCGUGAGUGAAGAAGUCAUUCGUGAUGUAAAGCUCUAUCAGCAGGGAAGAAAAUGACGGUACCUGAGUAAGAAGCCCCGGCUAACUACGUGCCAGCAGCCGCGGUAAUACGUAGGGGGCAAGCGUUAUCCGGAUUUACUGGGUGUAAAGGGAGCGUAGACGGCCAGACAAGUCUGAAGUGAAAAUCCA